rnacentral:lncRNA from 1 species
AUGGUUUCUGAGUACUGCUGGUUGGAUAGAUUGAGCAAUGGGGUACUGCAGCAGCUGUCACCCGCCUCCGAGAGCGGCUCCAGCAUCUCCUCUUAUGCCUCCAGUGCUCCCUGCAGCUCAGGCUCGCUGCCCUCCGACCGCAUGGACGUCUGCCUGGGGCCAGAGGAGCCCAGUGGCCAUGGCCCAGGUUGGGGGCGGGCAGACACAGCCAUGCAGACUGAGCCUGAUAUGGGAGGACACGUGGAGACUUGGUGUAGCAUUCGGCCCACAGUCAUCCUCAGGGACACAGCCAUCCGCUCUGAUGGCCCCUCUUCCACCCGCCGCCUUGACUCUGCGCUCUCAGAGUCCCCCAAGACUGCUUUGCUGCUGGCCCUCAGCAGACCCAGGCCUCCCAUCACACGUUCCCAGAGCCACCUGACCCUGUGGGGUACGUGAGGGAUGGAUAGCUGCCACUUUCUCCAUAGUCUCUGGUCCAAAGCCUGCCUCACAGACCAAGGAGCAGCCUCAGAUCUCCCUUUGUCCCUGGGCCUAAUCUAACCCCAACCCCAACCCCAGAAUAUUCUCAGAUCUCACUCUGGGCUUCAUUUUGAACCAGGCCUGCAUCCCAAACCUACCCUCAGUGCCAGCCCCAAUUCUGAUCAGCUCUGGGCCCCAAAACAGCCCUAACUGGAGUUAGGGAUUGGAAUCCCUCCAGCUUGGAAUGCCCAGGCCUGUUUAUAAAACACACACACACACACACACACACACACACACACACACACCAGAUUCCCUACACAGCUGCAGGUGUUGUGAGGGAGGGGUAGAAAGAUGGAGGAGGACCCCCUACCUCACCCACUCCCAACCCUGCACAGCUGCAGAUCCUGUCUGCCUCCUCUCCCUUUUCUCUGCCCUUUCCUACACCCCUGCCCCCUCCUUCCCUUCUGCCCACCCUCCAGCACCCCCCCGGGGGCUCCCUCGUGUCUGCAGAGGAGAAGAAGCAGCGGAGGAAGGAGAAGUCAGGGCCCCCUGGGGAGAAGGGGGCCCUGCAGCGCUCCAAGACGCUGAUGAACCUCUUCUUCAAGGGAGGGCGGCAGUGGUGGCCAGCAGGAGACGGGCAUAGAGAGGCCUGGACGUUGGACAGCAGAAGCCCCACCAAAGCCCGCCCUCACCUGGACCUGGAGAAAGGUGGGCGCAGUUCCAGGUUGAAAUUCCACCUCACUUCACCACUCACUCUCACAAGUAAAACAGAAGGAAUAAGGCCUAUUUUAGGCAUAGAGAAAAUGAGUGAGUUAACAAAUAUAAGCCAGUACC